rnacentral:rRNA from 1 species
CCUACGGGUGGCAGCAGUGAGGAAUAUUGGUCAAUGGGCGCGAGCCUGAACCAGCCAAGCCGCGUGAGGGAAGACGGUCCUAUGGAUUGUAAACCUCUUUUGUCGGGGAGAAAAAGACGCCACGCGUGGCGGUCGGAGAGUACCCGAAGAAAAAGCAUCGGCUAACUCCGUGCGAGCAGCCGCGGUAAUACGGAGGAUGCGAGGGUUAUAGGGAUGUAUUGGGUUAAAGGGGUGCGCAGGCGGAAGAUCAAGACAGCGGUAAAAUCGCGGGGCUAAACCGCUUCGAGCCGUUGAAACUGGUUUUCUUGAGUGAGAGAGAAGUAUGCGGAAUGCGUGGUGUAGCGGUGAAAUGCAUAGAUAUCACGCAGAACACCGAUUGCGAAGGCAGCAUACCGGCGCUCAACUGACGCUGAUGCACGAAAGUGUGGGUAUCGAACAGGAUUAGAUACCCUGGUAGUC